AAAGUCCCGCAAGGGAUCAGUAGAGUGGCAAACGGGUGAGUAACACGUGGGUGACCUGCCUUCGAGUGGGGGAUAACGUCCCGAAAGGGACGCUAAUACCGCAUGACAUCCUGCCUUUGAAGAGGUGGAGCUUAAAGCUGGGGAUCGCAAGACCUAGCGCUUGAAGAGGGGCCCGCGUCUGAUUAGCUAGUUGGUGAGGUAACGGCUCACCAAGGCAACGAUCAGUAUCCGGCCUGAGAGGGCGGACGGACACACUGGGACUGAGACACGGCCCAGACUCCUACGGGAGGCAGCAGUGGGGAAUUGUUCGCAAUGGGCGCAAGCCUGACGACGCAACGCCGCGUGGAGGAUGAAGAUCUUCGGGUCGUAAACUCCUUUCGAUCGAGACGAACGGCCCCUGGGCUAAUCACCAGGGGAGUGACGGUACCGAGAGAAGAAGCCCCGGCUAACUCCGUGCCAGCAGCCGCGGUAAUACGGGGGGGGCAAGCGUUGUUCGGAAUUACUGGGCGUAAAGGGCUCGUAGGUGGCCAACUAAGUCAUACGUGAAAUCCCUCGGCUUAACCGGGGAACUGCGUCUGAUACUGGAUGGCUUGAGGUUGGGAGAGGGAUGCGGAAUUCCAGGUGUAGCGGUGAAAUGCGUAGAUAUCUGGAGGAACACCGGUGGCGAAGGCGGCAUCCUGGACCAAUUCUGACACUGAGGAGCGAAAGCCAGGGGAGCAAACGGGAUUAGAUACCCCGGUAGUCCUGGCCCUAAACGAUGAAUGCUUGGUGUGGCGGGUAUCGAUCCCUGCCGUGCCGAAGCUAACGCAUUAAGCA
rnacentral:rRNA from 1 species